rnacentral:rRNA from 1 species
AUUGAACGCUGGCGGCAGGCUUAACACAUGCAAGUCGAGCGAGCGGCGGACGGGUGAGUAAUGUCUGGGAAACUGCCUGAUGGAGGGGGAUAACUACUGGAAACGGUAGCUAAUACCGCAUACCAUCGGAUGUGCCCAGAUGGGAUUAGCUAGUAGGUGGGGUAAAGGCUCACCUAGGCGACGAUCCCUAGCUGGUCUGAGAGGAUGACCAGCCACACUGUAACUGAGACACGGUCCAGACUCAUACGGGAGGCAGCAGUGGGGAAUAUGGCACAAGGGGCGCAAGCCGGAGGAAGCCAUGCCGGGGGUAGGAAGAAGGCCUUCGGGUGGUAAAGGACUUUCAGCGGGGAGGCGUUACCCGCAGAAGAAGCACCGGCUAACUCCGUGCCAGCAGCCGCGGUAAUAC